rnacentral:tRNA from 1 species
GGCCCGGUGGUGUAGUUGGCCUAACACACAGCCCUGUCAAGGCUGAGAUCGGGGGUUCGAAUCCCCUCCGGGUCGCCA